AUUGAACGCUGGCGGCAGGCUUAACACAUGCAAGUCGAGCGGAGUGAUGGUGCUUGCACUAUCACUUAGCGGCGGACGGGUGAGUAAUGCUUAGGAAUCUGCCUAUUAGUGGGGGACAACAUCUCGAAAGGGAUGCUAAUACCGCAUACGUCCUACGGGAGAAAGCAGGGGAUCACUUGUGACCUUGCGCUAAUAGAUGAGCCUAAGUGGGAUUAGCUGGUUGGUGGGGUAAAGGCCUACCAAGGCGACGAUCUGUAGCGGGUCGGAGAGGAGGCGCCGCCACACUGGGACUGGGACACAGCCCAGACUACUACGGGAGGAAGCAGUGGGGGAGAUUGGACAAUGGGCAGAACCCUGAUCCAGCCAUGCCGCGUGUGUGAAGAGGGCCUUAUGGUUGUAAAGCACUUUAAGCGAGGAGGAGGCUCUUUUGGUUAAUACCCAAGAUGAGUGGACGUUACUCGCAGAAUAAGCACCGGCUAACUCUGUGCCAGCCGCCGCGGUAA
rnacentral:rRNA from 1 species